UCUAACCUGCUCCUGGGGGACGACGGGCACGUGAAGAUCGCCGACUUCGGGGUCAGCAACCAGUUUGAGGGCAACGAUGCUCAGCUGUCCAGCACGGCUGGCACCCCAGCAUUCAUGGCCCCCGAGGCCAUUUCUGAUUCCGGCCAGAGCUUCAGUGGAAAGGCCUUGGAUGUGUGGGCCACCGGAGUCACUCUGUACUGCUUUGUCUACGGAAAGUGCCCCUUCAUCGAUGACUACAUUCUGGCCCUGCACCGCAAGAUCAAGACAGUGGCCGUGGCCUUUCCUGAGGCGUGAGUAGUGCAC